ACAUUUUUCUAGAAUUAUUUGCUCCCCGCUUACUUAUGCUAAUAUCUAGUCCAAUUUUAUGACAUUGAAAUUUGGCAAUAGUAACAUAGGCGCACCACUUCAAUUUGGCUAAAAAAAACAAAGAAAGAGGGGGUAAAGUCAAAUAAAUAGUCUUCUUCAAAAUAAAUCUACCUAUUAUGACUCGGAAUGCCGUACAAGGAAUUCUGUAGAAAAAAGGAUUCGAUUGA
rnacentral:lncRNA from 1 species